GCCAGCAGUCAUAUCACCCUGCAGCUCUCAAUUGGCUACGCACUGAAACUAAACAGGGUUGAGCCUGGCCAAUAUCUGGAUGGGAGACCUCCUGGGAAGCUAUGGUUGCUACUGGAA
rnacentral:rRNA from 1 species